CCCUUAGAUGUUCUGGGCCGCACGCGCGCUACACUGAUGAAUGCAACGAGCUCUACCCUUGACCGAAAGGCCCGGGUAAACUUGUGAAACUUCAUCGUGAUGGGGAUAGAUUAUUGCAAUUAUUAAUCUUCAACGAGGAAUUCCUAGUAAGCGCGAGUCAUCAGCUCGCGUUGAUUACGUCCCUGCCCUUUGUACACACCGCCCGUCGCUCCUACCGAUUGAAUGGUCCGGUGAAGCCUCGGGAUUGUGGUUCUUGCCGCUUUAUUGUGGCGUGACCGCGAGAACUUGUCUAAACCUUAUCAUCUAGAGGAAGGUGAAGUCGUAACA
rnacentral:rRNA from 1 species